UACGUAGGGGGCAAGCGUUGUCCGGAAUCAUUGGGCGUAAAGAGCGCGUAGGCGGUCCGGUAAGUCCGCUCUGAAAGUCCGGGGCUCAACCCCGGGAGGCGGGCGGAUACUGUCGGGCUAGAGUCCGGAAGAGGCGAGUGGAAUUCCUGGUGUAGCGGUGAAAUGCGCAGAUAUCAGGAGGAACACCAAUGGCGAAGGCGACUUACUGGACACAUAUUGACGCUGAGGUGCGAAAGCGUGGGGAGCAAACAGG
rnacentral:rRNA from 1 species